rfam:Gorilla gorilla gorilla genomic chromosome, chr2A, whole genome shotgun sequence
GCUAGGUGUGGUGGCACGCACCUGUAGUCCCACCUACUGUGGAGGCUGAGGCAGGAGGAUCACUUGAGCCUAGGUGUUCUGGGCUGCAGUGAGCUGUGACCAUCAGGUGUUUGCACUAAAUUUAGCAUCAAUACAGUGAUCUCCCAGGAGCAGGGAACCACCAGGUUGCCUAAGGAGAGGUGAACCAACCCAGGUCAGAAAUGGAGCAGGUCAAAGUUCCAGGGCUGAUCAAUAGCGGGAUGGCGGCUGUGGAUAACCACUGCACUUCAGCCUGGGCAACAUAGUGAGACCCUCUUUUGU